rnacentral:rRNA from 1 species
GUAGGGAAUAUUGCGCAAUGGACGAAAGUCUGACGCAGCGACGCCGCGUGAGUGAUGAAGGCCUUAGGGUCGUAAAGCUCUGUUGAAUGGGAAGAAAAAAAUGACGGUACCAUUCGAGGAAGGACCGGCUAACUUCGUGCCAGCAGCCGCGGUAAUACGAGGGGUCCUAGCGUUGUUCGGAAUCAUUGGGUGUAAAGGGUGUGUAGGUGGCCAUGUAAGUCAGGUGUGAAAGCCCCGGGCUCAACCCGGGAAGUGCACUUGAUACUGCGUGGCUUGAGUACCGAAGAGGGUAGUGGAAUUCCAGGUGUAGUGGUGAAAUACGUAGAUAUCUGGAGGAACACCGGUGGCGAAGGCGGCUACCUGGUCGAGUACUGACACUGAGACACGAAAGCAUGGGGAUCAAACAGGAUUAGAUACCCCAGUAGUCC